AACGAACGCUGGCGGCAGGCUUAACACAUGCAAGUCGAGCGCCCCGCAAGGGGGGUGGCAGACGGGUGAGUAACGCGUGGGAAUCUACCCAUCUCUACGGAAUAACGCAUGGAAACGUGUGCUAAUACCGUAUACGUCCUUCGGGAGAAAGAUUUAUCGGAGAUGGAUGAGCCCGCGUUGGAUUAGCUAGUUGGUGGGGUAAAGGCCUACCAAGGCGACGAUCCAUAGCUGGUCUGAGAGGAUGAUCAGCCACACUGGGACUGAGACACGGCCCAGACUCCUACGGGAGGCAGCAGUGGGGAAUAUUGGAUAAUGGGCGCAAGCCUGAUCCAGCCAUGCCGCGUGAGUGAUGAAGGCCCUAGGGUUGUAAAGCUCUUUCACCGGUGAAGAUAAUGACGGUAACCGGAGAAGAAGCCCCGGCUAACUUCGUGCCAGCCGCCGCCGUAAAAC
rnacentral:rRNA from 1 species